GGGCAAACAGGUGAAUGGCGGAUGGAUCGGUAACCACCAGCCUCCGCCACGGAUCUCUGGCGUCCCUCCUGGCUGUCUCGCUGUCAAGGAGCCGGCUUUGAAGCCGGUUGUAGCCAGUACGACACCCUCCCUGCAGACCCUGAAGUUAAUCGUGUAAGGAGCAAGUGCUGUGUGAACCCAUUUAAGCAAGAGCUGCAGCAGCCCGUCCACUUUCUCAGAGGAACCUUCCCCAUGUGUGCUUGCUCUGCUCAGAGUCUGUGGCAGGGGCCAGAAGGAAGUCCAGGGAAAGAAUAUACCCCUGGAUAUGUCUUUUACUACAUUACAGAGACUAAUUUAAUGUCUUCCCAGCCAAAGUUCUUCAUUUCUUUGCCUUGCUCAUGAUUAUUGCUGGGGGACUAUGUGGCUUUUGAGAGCCUUUUGAAGGGAAUAGAAAUUGAGAUGCAAAUCAGUGGGAUGUAUCUUUUUUUGCUAUGCAAAAUUCCUGUAUGCAAUCUAAUCUGGUCCUGCAAAGCAGCAAGAUCUAAAGAUUUUGGAUUUAAUGCCUUUAAAAGUGAUCGGUGGCAGGAAUCAGGAAUCAGUAAAUAUUAAACCCAUGUCUCUCCCGUCUGAGACUCUGCACUUCCUGUAUACUGACACCCAUAAGCGGCAGAAAUCAUAUUCAGCUGGUCAGUUGAAAAAAAUAUCCAUGCAUCCAUGCACAAAUAUUAACUGUCUAAAAACGUAGACUCUGCUGCCCACUGGGGCAUAAUCUGUGUCCUCAAAGAGCUCUGACAUUUUGGUGGCAGCAGCCGGCAGACAACCGAGAGAGAGUGAAGGACUAAAUCGAGGAGAGGUGGGAGAAUUUUAACAAACAAGUGGUUCCUUUCUUGAUCUUCCUGGUCAACAGAUAAUGGCUGUCAGUGGGGUAUUGAGCCCCUCCCAUGCCAGACCAACAGUGCAUUCUCCAGACCAACUGCAUUCGUGGGCCACUUGUCGAGUAAUGGUUCUGUGCUACCCAUGGGCGACACUCUUUACAUAUGCUCUCAUUCAGUUGUCACAUGGGUUAUAUGAGGUAAGUAUUAUUGACUUCAUUCUAUAGAUGAGAAAACUGAGACUCAGAGAAAUUAAGUAACUUACCCAGGAUCACAUUGCUUG